GGCUGGUUAGCUCAGUUGGUAGAGUGUGGUGCUGGUAACACCAAGGUCACGGGUUUGGAUUCCCGUACUGGCCA